GUGUCAGCAGCCGCGGUAAUACGAAGGGGGCGAGCGUUGUUCGGAUUUACUGGGCGUAAAGGGCGCGCAGGCGGCUUUGUUUGUCAGGCGUGAAAGCCCCGGGCUUAACCUGGGAACUGCGCUUGAGACGGCGAGGCUAGAGAUCGGGAGAGGAGAGUGGAAUUCCCAGUGUAGAGGUGAAAUUCGUAGAUAUUGGGAAGAACACCGGUGGCGAAGGCGGCUCUCUGGACCGACACUGACGCUGAGGCGCGAAAGCGUGGGGAGCAAACAGGAUUAGAUACCCUCGUAGUCC
rnacentral:rRNA from 1 species